GGGUUUAGGAUUUAGGAUUUUAAAAUUUAAGGUUUAGGGUUUUGUGUCCUGGGUUUGGGGUUGAGGAUUUUUGGGGUUUUGGAUUUUUAAGGAUUAGGUUUUUUAGGGUUUAAGGUUUAGGAUUUGAGGAUGUAGGGUUUAGGAUUUAGGGUUUGGGGGUUUAGGGUUUAGGGGUUAGGAUUUUAUAGUUUUAGGAUUUAGGGUUUUAGGUUUUAGGAUUUAGAAUUUUGAGGUUUUGGAUUUUGGGUUUAGGGUCUUAGGGUUAGGGUUUAGGUUUUAGGGUUU
rnacentral:lncRNA from 1 species